GCGUUACUAAGGUUUGUUACAGUAAUGGUAAUGGUCAGAGUUGAAUUAAUCGUGAUUGAGAGAAGUUCAUCGUGUUGCCGUGACGUAGAAAUAGUGUUAAGCGAAUUCGUAAAGUGCGAUAUUAUAUUCAAUAUUGUGAGAGUGUUACAAUAUCGUGUUUAUCAUACUGUCUUUUCUGUUAAUUUAUAAUAAACAUUCCUACAUUUAUUUUACACGUUAGACCAUUUACGAAAAAUUCUAUAAUUAUACCAGCUAAUUUGAUAACACAGCGCAAAGUCGAUCUGUUGCCGAUUUGCUAAUGGACGUAUUACUAGACUAAUAUUGCACGUUUUAUCGCACCGCGUGUGACGUUUAAAUCGAAAACAUGUAAAAGUUGUUAAACACGUAACGACUUGAAACAUUAAUCGCGAAAGAGAAGUGAAUGGUUUGAUUGGUUGAAUCAGCACUUUACAGGAACCCUACUUCACGCUUCCGAAAGAGGAUCAUCUGGACAGUGUGCAACAUGAGUUUGAAGCAAUUGGAUCGUUACUUCACACAUCAAGAGAAGCUACAAAAUGAGUGUCAGCGAGAAGCAUUUGCGGUAUUGUAUACUAUACGAGUUUAAAAAGGGCACCACAACUAUGGAUACUGUUAAGAACAUUUGUCAAGUAUACGGCGAACAUGUGCUGAAUGUGAGGAAGUGUCAGGGAUGAUUCUCAAAAUUUCGGAAUGGUGUUUUCGACCUUGUUGACGAGGCCAGGUCUGGUCGAAGAGUAACCUUCGAUGUCGAAGCAUUGAUAGUUGUAAUUGAAGCAGAACUUCACUUGACUACCGAGGAAAUAGCAAACAUAGUAGUAGCAGUAGUAUCCUACAUCGAUAUUUGCAUCAGAUUGGAGAAGCUCCUAAUGAACGAUCAACGAUGAUAUUCUCUUUAGCAGAUGAAUAAAUCCAUUCUAUAUUCUAUUCAUCGGAUGAAUGAAUUAUGAAAUGACAGAAAAAGAUGUGUUCAUAACAGUUUCCAGGAAACAGCUUGAAACGAUUUAUACGGACCAUCAACUGCUUUCGAGCGUAUCAUUAAUUUCAAGCAUCAGGAAUUCAACUUUAAUUUAAUGAACGAAGAUCUGUAGGACGCACCAUUAAUUUUACGGAAGCUUCGACAGCGUCCGGAUGCAAAAAAAUAUGACGCUUCCUACUUGAGCUUCACUUACUCUCAUAAGUGAAUGUAGCUUUUAACAUUUGUAACAGACAUUAUAUGUACGUACAGAAAAAUUAGAAGAUAUUUUGUUGGAUCACCACUUUUCUCUUAAUACAAUUCAUAAACGAUCAAAUACACGAAAGAUGCAGUUUGGAAAAACUUAUUCGGCACGUGUUAGCUUCCAGAAAGUUAGUUCCUAGUGAGUCGUACUGUGGGUAGAAGCUGGUUGAGACACGACCAGUAGUCAAGUAGCAAGUAAAGCCGAAUUUAUACUGUCUCCCUGUGAAUGAUGCAUCGAAAAACGUUGCUUUCAUCCUCGUUUACGGUGUAAAUUUGGCUUUACUGAACUACUAGCCGUAUCCGAGCCAAUCUUAAAGCUUAGAAAACUAAGGUCAGCGCUUCGUCACCUAAAUAUCGUAUGCAGUGAGGGACAAAAUCCGCACAGUUGCUUUACUGUACCAUAGAAAAUGAAAGUGAGAUAUUUUAUUAUAUACAUUCAAUACAUUCAACACGAUUAAAUAUAUUCAAAUAUACGUAAAUUUAUACUGUAUAGAUAUUUAUAAUACUUAUAAUGCUUAUAUAUAUUACGUUAUUAUUAUUAUAUAUUAUUACUUAUAAUAAAUGUACACAAACAAAGGUUGAUCCAUACCACACGAGUAUAUACAAUAUAACAUCGUUACAAUUCUUGUUCUACAAAUCUUGUCUCAUUAUAAAUUACCGAGUGAUUUAAUUGACAUUUGUUUGUGUACAUCUAAGAGUGUUAAGUGUCUGUGUAUAGUAUAAAGUUAUGCAUAUUUGAAUAGUAUAAAAAAUAAUUCUCUUUUAGUUAUAUGUCUACGUUCUAACUGUACGAAUACUUAUAUCUGUCACUUUACAUGGGUUCCAAAAUCUACAGGACAAUAACAGAAGUAUGCUUUAAAAAGGCGAUCAUUAGGAACGUGUUACUGUUAGCUCUCGGCGUUUAUUUAUUAUAUUUUAUUUAGCAAGUCUAGAGCACGAGUCUGCAAUGACAAAUAGUAAAUAUACAAAAAAAAGAGAAAGAAAAACAAAAAUGCAUAGGAAAUAUAAAUACACAGUGACUCAAAAAAUACAGAUUUUAAACGAAAGUAUCUUUACAGGAAGACAAAUUAGGAAGAAUAGGGGGAGUGAGAUUAUUGAUCGAAUAAUUUAUUACACUCUUCACGUCAAACUGAGCUAUAGAUGAGAAAUGCAAACAGGUCCAAAACUGAUGGAAAAGCUGAUACACGGCAGACUAAAUUACCGUCACUUUUCGAACAGCACCUGUUGAUUUAUAUCGCUAACACAUUAAUAAGUGAGCGCUUAUAUCAUGGCUUGGCAUGCGGCUCGGAUCAAUUUUUUCAGUCACUGCACAGGAAAAACGAGGGAUAAAGAAAGUUGAAUUUUAAUAACACGUUAGAAGUUGAAUAAUUGCAACGCUGGACGCUUCAAAUUAAUAGUAACAUCCAGAUAAGAAAUUACUCGAUCCAUUAUUUGCAUAGUUGCAUAUUCCGGUGAUGGGAUUAUAAAAUCUAAAAUCGCCCGAGAAGAAGUCAAUCUGCAAGACCAGACGUACUCUGUAAAGGACGUGAGCGUACAGUGAAAUUAAUAAGCCGACGUAACACAAGAUUGUCAGUGUGAUUAUUGAUGACUUAAACUUCCAUGCAUAUACAGCUGUGUUUCUGUCUAUUCCACGGAUAAAUACAUUCGUUCACGUUUUAAUAAAAUCCUUGGAAAUCCGGGUGUAGAUUAUUUUAUCAAACAUUAUACAUAUUAUAAAGUACGUAUAGAAUAUUUUAUCAAAUAUCAUACGUGCUACGAAAUAUGUAUGGAAUACCUUAUCAAAUAUUAAGAUCGCAGAAAAUCAAGUUUGCCGUGUCGAAUUUUCUCGGCCGAGAAAGCGGCAAUAAAGGUCCUUUGCCAGAUAAUCGAAAUAGCAGAAAUAGCAGCAAAACGGAGGCUUCGUAGCCCAUCGGAUGCAAAGGAGCAACGAGGAAAAGAGAGUAGCGUGUUAUAUUAAACCGUUGAAACUUUCACGUUGAACGUACGUAACGUAAUCCGCGAAAGCCAUUAAGACGUGGCUAUCAGGGAAAACCGUGAUAACGAGUGCGCGCACUUUUGCGAAACGGGCGGCUGUUGCAGGCCGUGUCGCUCGUAAAGGAGCCUCCGUGUCUGCAGUUUAGCCGGCAUACGUAAAUUCCAUAAAUUUCCUGCCUGUUAACGGCAACAUCCGACAGUAGUCGGUUCCGAGGUCAACCGAGAGUGUAUCUUUCCUAUGAGGCGACAUAGUGCAAAUGAAUUUGUUCAUAAACACCCGUAACUCGAAGAUAGUAUCAUCUGGGGGUAGCCAUCCGCGUGUUAUCUAGCAAUUAAGUUAGAAAAACUUACCAAAUGUCCAGCUGGACAAAUUGUAAAGUACAAAUUAAAUAGAAAAAAAGACGUUGUUCUAGAAAACACCCCACUAACUUCACUGAAGAAAUAAAAUAGUCAAACUUGAAGAUGGUAACCCGCUGGGGGUAGCCAUCCAUAUGUUAUUUAGCAAUUAAGUUAGAAAAACUUACCAAAUGUCCAGCUGGACAAAUUGUAAAGUACAAAUUAAAUAGAAAAGAAGACUUUGUUCUAGAAAACACCCCACUAACUUCACUGAAGAAAUAAAAUAGUCAAACUCGAAGAUGGUAACCCGCUGGGGGUAGCCAUCCAUAUGUUAUUUAGCAAUUAAGUUAGAAAAACUUACCAAAUGUCCAGCUGGACAAAUUGUAAAGUACAAAUUAAAUAGAAAAGAAGACUUUGUUCUAGAAAACACCCCACUAACUUCACUGAAGAAAUAAAAUAGUCAAACUCGAAGAUGGUAACCCGCUGGGGGUAGCCAUCCAUAUGUUAUUUAGCAAUUAA